AGCUAACGCUGGCGGCAGGCCUAACACAUGCAAGUCGAACGGAUCCUUCGGGAUUAGUGGCGGACGGGUGAGUAACACGUGGGAACAUGCCCUUUGGUUCGGAACAACUCAGGGAAGCUUGAGCUAAUACCGGAUAAGCCCUUCGGGGGAAAGAUUUAUCGCCAUUGGAGCGGCCCGCGUAGGAUUAGCUAGUUGGUGGG
rnacentral:rRNA from 1 species